ACUAAUUUCCCUGUGGUACAGAAAUGGCCAGAAUGGCAUGGACUCAAAGCUGGGCACUUGUGAAUCAUAAACCAGGCAUCCUAUUGUGGCUCUGCCAGUUGCAAGCCGCUGUUAUUAUUGUAACGAAGACUUUUUUCUCUGGGAACCCACGCCUCACCCUUUGCCGCCUGUGUGAACUGGAAUAAAUUACCGGACAUGGCCUCUACUCGUCUGUGUCCUCUCCGUAAAACAGGACCCUGAACUGACUUCCUCAACCUUUACCCACAAUUGACAAAGCUGACAAGCCGGACUCAGAAUGCCUGUUGCACUUUCCAAAGACUUAUUUUGGGCCAGGCACCAGUUCCCACCGAGGAAUGAGCUCGUUAAAUACUCAGAACAACCUAAUGAGGGGGAAGACUAUUAUUAGAAUGUGUGUUUUACAGCUGUGGAGGCUGCGGCAUAGAGAGGGUAAGUAACCUGCCCUGGGUCACACAGCAUUUGCAAAUGUUGGGGGCCAGAUUUGAUAUUAUAUCAGUCAGCAGAUAUUAUAUUGCUCAUGCCCCUCCCCCGCCAAGAGGAUAGGGCAGCAGCUGCUGGCAUCUCUAUGGCAAACACUGAUUUAUUAUAAAGGUCAGGGAUU